rnacentral:rRNA from 1 species
GACGUAGGGCGCGAGCGUUGUCCGGAUUUAUUGGGCGUAAAGAGCUCGUAGGCGGCUUGUCGCGUCGACUGUGAGAUCCCGCGGCUCAACGUGCGGGUCGUGCAGUCGAUACGGGCAGGCGUAGAGUUCGGUAGGGGAGACGUGGAAUUCCUGGAUGUAGCGGUGAAAUGCGCAGAUAUCAGGAGGAACACCGAUGGCGAAGGCAGGUCUCUGGGCCGAUACUGACGCUG